CAAAAAAUGGAGCAGAGACUGAAGGAAAGGCCAUCCAGAAUCCACCCCACCUUGGGAUCAACCUCAUCUGCAGACACCAAACUGAGUCACUAUUGCUGAUGCCAAAAAGUGCUCUAAGACAGACAUUCUGUAAUGUAUAGCAUGACUGUCCUCUGGGAAGCUCUACCUAGCAGCUGACUGAAAGAGAUGCAGAGACCCACGGCCAAACAGUGAAUGGAGCUUGGGGACUCUUAUGGAAGGGUUGGGGGAACAAUUGAGGGCCCCGAAUGGGAUAGGAACUCUACGAACCACUAACCAAAGAACAUACUCAUUGAACCUAGGCCUCCCCACACAUAUGUAGCAGAUGUGCAGCUCAGUGUUCUUGUGGGUUCCCCAGAAAUUGGAGCGGGGGCUGUCUCUAAAGCUGUUGUCUAUUUGUGGAAUACAUUCCCCUAACUGAGCUGCCUUGUAUGGCUUCAGUGGGAAAGGUUACACCUAGCCCUGCAGAGACUUGAUGUGCCAGGGUUGGGGGAUACCCAGGGAGUCCUCUACCAUCUCAAAGGAGAAGGUGAGGGGGAUGGGAGAAGGGAUUGUGUGAGGG
rnacentral:lncRNA from 1 species